ACAAAAAAAUCCCCGCAAGAAACUUGCGGGGGUCCUUCUAUUCCUUACAUACAUAAGGAGAAGGCAAAGGGAGAGGAGAAACCGGAGGAAGAACUUAUGGGGAAACGUAAGUCUUCUCCGCGG
rfam:Bacillus gobiensis strain FJAT-4402 chromosome.